rnacentral:rRNA from 1 species
GACGUAGGGCGCGAGCGUUGUCCGGAUUUAUUGGGCGUAAAGAGCUCGUAGGCGGCUUGUCGCGUCGAAUGUGAAAACCCACGGCUCAACUGUGGGCUUGCAUUUGAUACGGGCAGGCUAGAGUUCGGUAGGGGAGACUGGAAUUCCUGGUGUAGCGGUGAAAUGCGCAGAUAUCAGGAGGAACACCGGUGGCGAAGGCGGGUCUCUGGGCCGAUACUGACGCUGAGGAGCGAAAGCGUGGGGAGCGAACAGG